GCCUACGGCCACACCACUCUGGCAACGCCCGAUCUCGUCCGAUCUCGGAAGCUAAUCAGAUUCGGGCCCGGUUAGUACUUGGAUGGGAGACCUCCUGGGAAUACCGGGUGCCGUAGACU
rfam:Callipepla squamata strain Texas jcf7180005139855, whole genome shotgun sequence.